rnacentral:rRNA from 1 species
AGCAGCAGCCGCGGUAAUACGUAGGGUGCAAGCGUUAAUCGGAAUUACUGGGCGUAAAGCGUGCGCAGGCGGUUAUAUAAGACAGAUGUAAAAUCCCCGGGCUCAACCUGGGAACUGCAUUUGUGACUGUAUAGCUAGAGUACGGCAGAGGGGGAUGGAAUUCCGCGUGUAGCAGUGAAAUGCGUAGAUAUGCGGAGGAACACCGAUGGCGAAGGCAAUCCCCUGGGCCUGUACUGACGCUCAUGCACGAAAGCGUGGGGAGCAAACAGGAUUAGAUACCCCCGUAGUCCCUGUCUCUUAUAC